GGCUCGUUGGUCUAGGGGUAUGAUUCUGGCUUCGGGUGCGAGAGGUCCCGGGUUCAAUUUCCGGACGAGCCC
rfam:Ciona savignyi cont_20513, whole genome shotgun sequence.